AAAAUGCUCACUCCGUCCGAAAAUACUUGUCUUAAAAAUAAAUAAAAUGGAUGUAUCUAUAACCAAAAUAAGUCUAGAUACAUCCAUUUUUAGGACAAGUAUUUCCGGACGGAGGGAGUACAUC
rnacentral:pre_miRNA from 1 species